GAUGAAGAACGCAGCGAAAUGCGAUAAGUAGUGUGAAUUGCAGAAUUCAGUGAAUCAUCGAAUCUUUGAACGCACAUUGCGCCCCUUGGUAUCCCGAGGGGCAUGCCUGUUCGAGCGUCAUUUCACCACUCAAGCCUGGCUUGGUGUUGGGCGACGUCCCCUUUGGGGACGCGCCUCGAAACGCUCGGCGGCGUGGCACCGGCUUUAAGCGUAGCAGAAUCUUUCGCUUUGGAAGUCGGGGCCCCGUCUGCCGGAAGACCUACUCGCAAGCUUGACCUCGGAUCAGGCAGGGAUACCCGCUGAACUUAAGCAUAUCAAUAAGCGGAGGA
rnacentral:misc_RNA from 1 species